GGGGGUGGGGGUGGCUGGGUCUUGGUCAUGAGACCAUGGGCUUUUUUAAGUUUGGUAAUGGGUAUUAUUGGGUCUAUGGGUCUUAUAAUACCCAUGGGUAAUUAACCUACCCACACCCAUUAAUUUUUCACUUAAUGGUCUGGUCCGGUGUGGAUCCAUUAAGUAAUGGGUCGGUUCUGGUUCCGGAACCGUAACAAUUUUAAUGGUUCUGGUCCGGGUAAAACCCACCCAUUGACAUCCCUAAUU
rnacentral:lncRNA from 1 species